rnacentral:rRNA from 1 species
GAUGAACGCUGGCGGCGUGCCUAAUACAUGCAAGUCGAACGAGGUGCUUUUGUAGCAAUACGAGAGUAUCCUAGUGGCGAACGGGUGAGUAACGCGUGGAUGACCUGCCCCAAAGUGUGGGAUAACAGUCCGAAAGGAUUGCUAAUACCUCAUGUGGUUAUCGGUUUUAGAAAGCGAUAACUAAAGCAGCAAUGCGCUUUGGGAGGGAUCUGCGUCCCAUCAGCUAGUUGGUGAGGUAACGGCUCACCAAGGCGACGACGGGUAGGGGACCUGAGAGGGUGGCCCCCCACAAUGGAACUGAAACACGGUCCAUACACCUACGGGUGGCAGCAGUAGGGAAUAUUGCUCAAUGGGCGAAAGCCUGAAGCAGCAACGCCGCGUGUGCGAUGAAGGCCUUGGUCGUAAAGCACUUUCUAAGAGAUGAGAAAGGACAGUAUCUUAGGAAUAAGUCUCGGCUAACUACGUGCCAGCAGCCGCGGUAAAGUCUAG